rnacentral:rRNA from 1 species
GAUGAACGCUGGCGGUAUGCUUAACACAUGCAAGUCGAACGGUCACUUCGGUGAUAGUGGCGGACGGGUGAGUAACGCGUGAGAAUCUGUCUUCAGGUCGGGGACGACAGUUAGAAAUGACUGCUAAUACCGGAUGUGCCUUUGGGUGAAAGAUUUAUUGCCUGAAAAAGAGCUCGCGUCAGAUUAGCUAGUAGGUGGUGUAAGAGACUACCUAGGCUCCGAUCUGUAGCUGGUCUGAGAGGACGAUCAGCCACACUGGAACUGAGACACGGUCCAGACUCCUACGGGAGGCAGCAGUGGGGAAUUUUCCGCAAUGGGCGAAAGCCUGACGGAGCAAUACCGCGUGAGGGACGAAGGCUUUUGGGUCGUAAACCUCUUUUCUCAAGGAAGAUGAUGACGGUACUUGAGGAAUAAGCAUCGGCUAACUCUGUG